UACGUAGGGGGCAAGCGUUGUCCGGAUUUAUUGGGCGUAAAGAGCGUGUAGGCGGCCAGACAGGUCCGUUGUGAAAACUGGAGGCUCAACCUCCAGACGUCGAUGGAAACCGUCUGGCUAGAGUCCGGAAGAGGAGAGUGGAAUUCCUGGUGUAGCGGUGAAAUGCGCAGAUAUCAGGAAGAACACCCGUGGCGAAAGCGGCUCUCUGGGACGGUACUGACGCUGAGACGCGAAGGCGUGGGGAGCGAACAGG
rnacentral:rRNA from 1 species